GCUUUUGUUCAUAUUCCAUGUUAUUACAGCUUCUCCCAACAAACUAGGAAGGUUAUGCAUGCCGUGAGGGACUCAAAAUCUGCAAGGUUUCAUCCUCCACUUCAUUUAUUCAUUUCUUUUGCAGAUGUAUGACAACUAGAAGAUGCCUUAUUCCAUCCAUCCAUUCAUUUAUAUGCCUUGUUCCAUCCAUCCAUUCAUUUAUCACCAAAAUCCAAGCACCUGAUCAGCCACCAAUGGGAUUCAAGGUAAAACGGCCUACUUUUGUUAUCCUCAUUUUGCAUGGAUUGCAUGCAGACUUUCCUUUAUCAACCUGAAUGAAUUUUCCACUUGUGGUAUGCUUUAUCCGUUUCUCCUUAUAUUUAUUUUCCCCUCUUUGGUAAUCUUCUCUAGCAAUUGUUCUCUCAAAUUAAAUGUAUAAAAACAUGUACAAAUUGAAACCUCCAUUUUAGACCAAUCCUUGUUUAUGCCAUUUUUGUAAAAUAUGUUUCCUUUGCUAUAGUCAAUUCCUUGAAUCACUCUACGAGGCUCAAAACUCCUAUAUGAUUAUUUGACUUGGGGUUGUAACUAUUACAUUUGCCUUCAAUUCUGUCUAGUUUUCCACAGGGAUUUUGCGAGAUAUUGUUCCAUUUGAUCCAUCUACAUCCAUGUCUUUUCUGUUCUAUCAACUGUGUAAAUCUUUAAUGUGGAUAGGUUUGAUUUAUAUCAUCUUCAUAGCAUGUGGGUAUGUUGAGGGCAGAGCAGAGCAAUGUACUAUUUUCUAUUCCUGAGAACUGAAAAUAUGCCCAGAAAACAUGUUUGGUACCGCAUUUUUUCAUGCUUUUAUUUUCAGUCUCUUUAAGAAAAUUUAAGUUCUGGAAUCUUCGUAAUGUUUUGAGGAUUGGGAAUCAGGUGAUGGUAUCUAUUUUCGCAGGAUGACUGAAUUGAUUUGUUGUCAUAGCAGGUAGGGUUUUUUCUCUGUUCAGUCUAGUUGAAGAUGACUUUUGAUGGUGGGGGGUAACGGGAAUUAUAGGGCCUCUUUGGUAACAGUUUUUGAGAACGGUUCUCAAAGAACAAUUAUUAGAAGCAGUUUUCAACUGUUUUCAAGAACAAAAUUUGUUUAAAAGCUCAAAUUGUUUUUUCUUUGUACUAAAGAACAUGCAACUGUUUUCAAGAUCACUUACCAAACAGACCCCAAGACUUUGUCUUUGAGGUUGAAACAAAAUGUGAUGACAGUAAAGGGUGAGAGUAUUGUAACGUUGUACUCGGUGAUACGUGUAAAUGGGUGGAUUUGAUUGUAUAAUAAGGGUGUGUUUGGGAGGCUUUUUAUUUGAAGCAUUUUCUUUAGAAACGUUUUUAGUCUUGUCGAGAGCUAUAAAUGAUUUUUAAUUUUUAAAAAUACCUAAUUUUUUUUCUUUCAAAAACCUUUUUGUACGUUAGAAAUAUUUUAAAAAAUAAUUAUGUUAAUAUUUUCUAGGAAUUUGUCCCUUGUUACUAUUAUCAUGGAUUCGAUGGGGAAAAAGUUGAUGUGUGAAGGAAAACGAUUUGGAUGAGAGUGCUCUUGAUAAACACGUUCAUUUGAGAGUGAUUUUAAGAUGGAGCAAAAGCAUUUCAUAAUGUUUAGAAACGCUUUCUUAGGUGUUUGAUAAAUUUUUAAAAAUUCAAAGAAUGAUUUGAAAUGAUAUUCAUAAACAACGAUUUAGAUCAUUUUUACAAAAAUCACCUUUGAUUAUAUACAAAGUAUUAAAAAAUAUAUUAUCCUAACAUUGAUUCCUCAACUGUUUUUAAUGGAAGCAUUGAUAACAAAAAUACAUUAGAUCACUAAAUCUUUCGACUGGACUGUAGAGUAAAAAUGUUUUUAUCCUUUCUACUAUUUGAAAAUUUUUAUGUAAUAGAAAAUUUUUAUUUUAGAAAUAUUAAAAAUACUUUUUAAAAUCAACGGCAAACAUGCUCUUCUGUUUGGUAAUUUAAAAAACACUUUUUAGUACAAAAGUGUCUUUGAAGAAAAAUAAGCAUUUCGCAAUUUAAAAAAGGUUAAAAAAGAUAGUGUUUUUUUAAGAACAUUGGAUAAAUAAUUCUUUUAAAAAUAUCUAUAAAAAAUGUUUUCACUAUUCAAAUAUAAAUACUCUUAAGGCACGUUUAUUUUCUCUAGAAACAUUUUUUUCAAAAGAAUUGCUUACCAAAUACUACUACAAAAAGCACUCUAUAAAUGAUUUUUUUAACUUUUUAGAAGUGUUUAAUAAAUUUUAUUGAUUUUUUUUCCAAAAAAAACCUUUUUAUACUGAGGGUGUUCUCUAAAAGCAUCGUUAAACAAACUCUUAUAAGGUUGCAGAAAGCUUCUAAUCAAAAUUCAAAGUUUCAACCAUUUAAAGAAGCAUUCAACAAAAAAAUCAAUCGCAAGUUUCGAUCCAACAAGGCGACCCGCAAAAGCGAAAACGACUAUGUUGUUGCUUUUCUGGAUUUGCAUUAGGUUUUUGAAGUUAAUUGUUCAAGGGUUAACAUAAAUGCGAUUCUAAUAAACAAAGACCUAUUCCAUAUUUCAGUGAUAAGCUUAAUCAUACAAAUAAGAGCUCAAUAAUCAGCCUACCGCCAUGAGUUCCAAGUAGUAUUAUUUCAUUUGUAAUAUCACAAGAAUGCAGCAAGAAUCUAUUUGUAUAAGGAGUUUUAGGUUACCUCUUCAAGUAGCUUUGCUGAAAGAAUUCUUUCAAUGACAAGAUGUAGCGAUGUAGUCCAUGGAUCAGACCAUGACUUGGUUUCUGAAUACCAGCUAUCAGCCCCCGAUAAUCUGACAAUGUGGCAUCAGACAAUGGCUCCAAGAACUCGCAGUGAGCCAAAAUUUCAGGUGGGGGCAUUCCAGCAAUGAGGUUGGUUUCCAGUUUUGGUUUCCCCUUGGUGAGCUCUCUAGGGGCUUCAACUGAGGCACAUUCAAUUGCAGAGGGGGAUGCACCGGGGAUUACUUCCUCUGUGAAAGGAAAAGCUCUUGCAGCUUGCAAGCAGAACUCUAUCCAUUGAUGGAUUACUGGAGAUGGCCCUCUGACUCGGCCCCCGAUUUGGCGGCUUCUUUCAAGUUUUGAAGUAGAUGGGAUUGCCUGCAGAAAGGAUACAGCAGAAUAUCCUAGUAAAUACACUAGUACACCAUGGAACAUAGACCAGCAUAGGAUAUCCAAAUCAGCUGAAAUAUCAAAACAGAUUCCAAUUCUCAUUAUAUUUAUCAUUAACCUGGUUCUUUCCUCAAUUUUUUUUUUCUUUUUCUUUUUAGAGCAUUAUUGAUAUAUUAGGGUUUUUGUUUUUCUUUUUUAUAGGCGAAGAUCAACACACUGUGAAGAAAGAAAGUAAAUGCAUAGUAUUAUGAGAUGAAAUCAGGACAUACCCAAAGAUCUGCCCAUAAGCUAGCUCCAGACUUAGGAACAAUUACUGCAACAUUAGACAUGCGUUUGGCUGCAGGAAGGACAUCACUACUCCACCCAACAGCCACCCAUACAUCUCCCACACUAAGUGCUUUUAUAUAGUGUGUGCUGUCAAAGCAUCGUACCUAUAUAAAGCCAUUUGAAUGCGUAAGUCCCAUUAUUGAUAUAAAAAAUAACAACCAUUGUACCACUCCAAAUGCAAAAUAGCUUUUAUGGAAUUCAAUUUCUUUUUGUUUUUCCUUUUUGACAGCACAAAAAUGGUAAGUUACCCUUACAUAAGCCAUAACUCACAAGUUGUAUCAGACUGAUUACCGUAGUUUACAAAAUCCGGUAGAAUUGACUCAGAGACUCAAAGUUAAUACAUAACAUAUCAAGUCCCAGAGCAAUACCAUCCAGUUAUUUUUGGUUAAUCACAUGAUAUUUAUUUCUUCUAUUUUAUGUUUUUUUUCCUUUUUCCUUUCUUUUCUCCAUUUCUUUGAUGAACUCACGGCUCUCAUCCUGGAUGUAAGAAAUAUCUAGCCAAUGAACAAUACUUAUUAUUGCAUGAGCGUCAGAUAAAACAACCGACAUAAUCUCAAUACCUGUUUCGCAAGCAACAUAAGAUUCUGCUGUACAGCAUUCCUCCCACCAUUAACUUGCAAUUCAAUGUUGUCUGUGUUGUAGGAUGCUCCCAUGUACUUUAAAACAGCACCAACAACCUCUCGUGGAGAAUCAAUCAUUGAAAUCCUCCCUGCAAGUUCAGGUCGCCAUAAAUCUGCCCAGUCCUGCAACCAUCAACUACUUAGUCCCAGAAUAAUUUUUUAUAGAAAACAAAGUUUUUGAAAAAUCCAUAGCAAUAGCUAGAAGUUUUUAUAAUGAGAUGAGUUGAAGCCAUGGCAAUGACAAGCAAUUAUACGAAUUCAUGCCUUCCCAAAUAAUCGGACGAACAAAUGCAGUGGUUGUGGGGGUUCUAUAGGAGACACAAUUUGCUGUGGCAUUAUUGAAAAUAUUUAUUUAUUUAUUUUUUGAUACUUAAUAUUGUUGCUACUCUUAUUCCUUUGACUUGAAGAAAUUCAAACCUGGAAUUUCCCAAAUCCCAGUCCAACCAAUUGCCCCUUGAGCCAGGCAUUAUUGGAAGCAUUUAUGGACUGAAACAACAAUCACUUAGCUAACUUUGUGGGUACGUGAUCACAUGUUGUCCUAAGAAUUGUCCUAAGAAAGACAUCUCUUAAUGUCACCAAAAUUGUGCUUCCUAUGUUCAACUCAUUAUUGAUGUUGGAUUGAAAAUUGGUUUCUUGGAGAAUUGACAUUGGGAGGAUCUACCCCUUUGCCUUCUUUUGAUCCUUGUCAAUUUCCUUCCUCAGAACAGAGAUUUCCCAAUACCCACAAUUCUCCAUUCUGAAACUCAAACUUUCAGCUUCACCAAACUAAUCAAGAAGUUAAUGGCCUGUAUAUUCUAAUCCUUUCCUUAAACCACAUUUAUCUAUCUUCAUCCUUUCCAAAUGAAAGAAUAGGAUCCAUGGCCUUCAGUUUUUUCUAAGCUAAGCCCUACUUUUCUAGCCUUUCUAAAAGUGGCAACCCAACACUCCUUUGUCAUCACCAACUUUAUUUGAAGUCCAUGGCUAUUCCAAAAAUUGGGCCUUGGCAUAGUUUAUCUGAGAUUGAAGCUCAAGAAUGUAAAUUGUAUUUUCCAGAAAUAGAUUCCAAAAGAGGAACAGAUAAGAGAUUCUUGUUCAAAUGUUUAGUUAUCAUUAGGAAUUUGAGAUUCCCCUCUAUCUUAAUAUUUUAGUUGUAGGUUUUCUCAAUAUUAUGAGAGAAAUAGAAUUGAUAGAAAAAUUAUGAACACCCCUUCAAAACAUAUUUAUUAAUAACAAAAAGAUUUAUUUAUAGGGGAAUAAAAAUGGGGUUGUCUCUUUGAUUUUUUCCAUUUUCUAAAAUCAAGAAUAAAAUAUCAUGGGUGGAGUGGGUAGGAGAUCCAACCUUGUUUGGGAUGAACUCAUACCUAAGGGAAUUGAAUUAAAAUUUUCCAAGCAAUGUGUAUCCCAAAUAGGAUAAAUUUUAUAUUCGGCAAUACACAUCCAUUUUCCAGUUAAAAUGCCUAUGAAGCAAACCAGUUAUCAAGGUCUUUAAUGUGUUAAUGGCCCUCUAGGGGGUUGGUUGUAUUUGGAUAGCAACAACUUUUUGUUACCGUUUUGACUGCCCAAAGGAUUUCUGAUCUCAUCCCUCUUUAUAUCACAUCCUUUCAUGAUAAAUAAUAUGGGUCUCCUAUCAAAGAAAAAAAAUCAAAUUAUUAAACAAAGUUUCCUCUAGCCAUAGAUCAUUAUGAAGUGAAAUCAAUUCUUUUUUUAAUAGGUAACGUUCUUUUCUUUUGUUGCCAAUGGAACCUGGAACUUAGAACCUCCCACAUCUCCGCUUCAACCCUUUGCCCCUUUGAGCCAUGCCUCAAAGGUCAUAAUUUAUCAAUUAUGAAUUGAAGUGAGAAUACAGAUCAUUUCAUAAUCUGUUACAUUAACAGAACAUCUUAUGUUUUGAUAUUAAAUUUUGGUUACUUUUUUAUUCUAGAAUUAGAUUUUCUUUUAUAGAAGGGGAUUGGUCCAUACAUUGAGGUGGAUUUUUUUAUUUUUCAUUUGAAUUAAAAAGAUAAAGCAUUUUCUUUUUAAAAUUUUCUGCAAUUGAAUAUAUACUUUAUACAUUAAAUAUUCAAUUUAGGCCACAACUGAAAUCAGUCUCCUUUUGUACUACAUAUAAAUUUUUAUAAUAGCAUCCUUUGUUCUUGUUAGCUGUUACUUGAAAGUAGAACUCACAAAAGCAUUGGAAGGAAAGGCAAGGCUAAAUCUAGACUGUACUAAAUUAUGAGGACAAACGAAAAAAUGAAGGAAGAAAUAAUUGCAGAAGAGAAAACUGUGUUUAUUGCAAUUGCAAUUGCAAAAGAGAAAAUUGUUUUGAUUUCAAAAAUAGAUAUUUCAAUUAGGUUCAGGUGAAAUAACCAGAACACUCAUCCAGAUUAAAACAAAGUAAAAAAAGAGUAGAAUACUUUUACAAUAUAACAAUUACAAAAUUAUGAAAUAACUUUGUAUAGAUUAUAUACAUAUCCAACAAAUAGGACAGACAACCAUCUUGAUAUUGAUUUCAAGACAAUAAAGAUACGAUAAAACUAUCAAAAUUCUAAAAAUAAUUUACCUCUAUAGGAGCCAAUUUAUGCUUUUCAAAUUUGCUUUUCUUGUAUGCUAUCACCAUGCUUCCCCAUCGAUAUGGAGCAGCCCAUAUUUUACCUUCAGCAUCUAAUUCUCCUUUGCUGUUCCUGCGUAAAUAUACCUGAGACUAUCUUAGUAGAAGUUAAAUUGCAAAAUAGAACUGAAAAAUAUUAGUAACUUGCUAAGGUACUUGCAGUUUUUCUCAAUAUUAUCAUUUAAUUUUAUAUCCUUCAAUAUAACCAAACUAAAAUAUAUUAUAAUUUUAAUAAUAUUAUGCUUUUAAAUUCUAUAUAUUAUCACAAAAUGUCAUAAAAUAUUACAUAUAUUAUUUCUUCAAAGAAUUCUUAUUUUAUCAUUUCUUGAAGUUUUUCUCAAUAUUUCUAUAAGUUUUUAUCAAAUUUCCUCUCACCAAUAUUUUUUUUCAAAAUUUCCACUAAUAUUUCCUGAUAUGUACCAAUAUAUUCGUAAAAUCCAACUACCGAUAAAUCUAUGAAAACCAAUAUUUUUAUCCUUGAAUAUAAAGAGGUUUGAUGAAAGCUAAUUUGGUUAAAAUAUGACAUAAAGUAGACUUUAAGUUUUUAAUUGAGCUAAAAUAUUUUUAUUUAAUUAAAUUAAAAACUAGUCAAGCUCUUAAGCACUUAGACUUGGCGCUGGAGCAAUCAAUCUCUUCUUAAGAGCAUCGAGCGCUUGUGCAUUGGAGGCAGAAUUCUCUUGAUUUAAAGUUUCAAUUUCUCCAUUUUUAAAACAAGUUUUUUUGGAGAAUUCUAGAUCUUGUUCACUAAGGAUCUCCCCUUCUGAAUACCAUGCCAUAAAGGUUUUUUAGUUAGAUGCAAAUUUUGGAAACAUCAACUAUUAGCCUUCCCUCAUCCCAAAACUCUCUAAUGGUAUGUGAUUCUCAUUCUUGGGUUCAUGAGAGAGAUUCAUAUCCUCUCAGGAGUUGAGAUAGUCCACUGGAUGCAUGUGUGGUGUUGCGUCGUGAACAUGAAGACUAGUAUAGAUAUUGGGAGUAAGAUUUAGGAAGAGCAUCUAUCAAGUAAAUCUAUGUGCUUUUCUUUCAAUUGUGGAUUUGUGCUCUAUGGCCUCUAAACACUGUGGUUUUUACAUCCACAAAGUCUCUAAUAGACUUUGUGGGUAGUUUUCCAUGCAAAAAUCAUUGUUUCUUAUGCGAUUGAUUUACCUUCUUCUUCCUUUUAAAGAGAAAUUAAAAUUAAACAUUUAGAGUAAAAAAGUGCUAAAUAAUUAUUCACCCUCCUCUUAGUAUUUCAUAAUCAAUCUCUACAAACUUUCAAAUGGCUCUCUUGGACUAGCCUAUAGAUAAUUGAAAUUUAAAAAAAAAAAGCAUCAUAUAGAUAUUAACAAUUCAUAUUCAAGUGAUUCCUUUUUUAUAUCUUGGGGGGUUAUAUCAACUGUCAUUGAUCUUUCUCCCUAUCCGUUGGAUAUUUGAAAACCGGUAGAAAUAUACCUUUUAAAGAUAACAUAGAAGCUUCUAAACCAAUCUGUGUCAAAUUUGAAGUAACCCUAAGUUUGUAAGAAGGCAACUCAGCCAAAUGAUGACUAUGAUGAGGGAAUGAUGAAUGGUGACUAUGAUGAAGGAAUUAUUAUUAUUAUUAUUUUGAAGUAGCCCUAAGAUUUUAGGAAGGCAACUCGACUAAAUGAUGACUAUGAUGAGGGAAUUAUUAUUAUUAUUAUUAUUAUUAUAAAAAACAACACUUUCAUUGCAUUGAAAUAUUAAGUACAAAGGAGGAUGGAAAAUCCUUCUAAGAAGUACACAAUCCUCUAUACAAAGAAGGAUUAAAGAGGCAGGUAAGUGUAUAUUAGUUCAAAAGUUCAAAUCUAACUAUAAUUCACAUAGGUAUAAAAUCUCCUACAAAAGAAAUCAUAUGUCUAGCUCCACAUUUUGCUAAUGCAUCUACCAUAUGAUUGCCUAAGCAAGAAGCCCGAGAGAAGGAAUUUUUAUUAAGCUAUAUAUGAUGAGGUAACUAUUUGUCAAGCUACUUAAGUAUAUUGAACAUGAGUAAGACAUAUGACCUGCAAUGCACACACAGAUUAUGGGGCAAGCACAUACAUAGAAGACCCCAAUGAAAGGUACCUGAUCUUUUAAUAUUUAAAUUUAAAGGUUAGAGCAUUCUUUUAAACAAAAGUACAAAACUCAAACUACAGUCAUUACAACAUCAUGUCCUCUGAUAUCUCUAUUCAACUCAAACUUUCCUAGUCCCUUUGGUACACCUCAUGAAAAGACUAAUAUCACAGACGUGCAUUACAUACUAUUUAAGAAACAUAUGCAUAUAAAUUAUGAACUUAUCGGCUAACCAGAGAGACCAAUAGAGGAACCUAUACUCCCAUUAAGUUUGUAUUUUUCUCCUUCCAGUGACUAUUCAGUCUUGUAGAGGAAGUUUCUUUUGUGGAAUUUGAUUUCUUUUGAAGGGUUUCUUAUUUUCCUUUUUCUAUGUAUGCGUCUAAUGAAGUAUCUCUUAUUCUACUUCGCAUGUCACCUCGUCUUUUAAUAAAUAUUUGCACCCUAAAAAAUAGCUAUACAUAUAUUAAGAAUUUUUGAAGGGUUUCUUACUUUCUUUAUCAAAUUAAAGGAAAACUAUAAUUGAUUGGGCAGUGUAGAUAUAAACAAUAAUACUUAAAUUAUACCAUGAGCAUAGUUAAAAUGAUGGUGCCAAGAUAAGAAAGCAUUAGUGAACAAGAGCAUUCAUAGGCUGUGAGAGGUAGCUCUAAAUGUAAAAAAGAUGAUAAAAAUUGAGACGGUUGUUUGAUAAAAGAAGUUGGGAUGGUUCCUUUAUUUAUACAAAGACAAGAAACUAGUUCAGUAAGGAGCAAUAUGUUUCUGUAUUCUUACCUUCCAUUUAUAGCUUAACCCUCUAAACCAAUCUUGGUCUUCCACCCCUUGUAUGGGCUCAAUUAUACCCUUAUUAAUGGCUAAGUCAAGCCAGGAGUCACCAACAGUGACAAUAUCAGCUGCUAGGGCAGAUUUAGGCUCAAUUUUGCCUUUGCUCAAGGGCCGACAUAGUUCAGAGAAUAUGUCCUGAAGACUUCCACGGAAAUUUGACAGUAACCUUAAUCUCCUUCCUUGUGAUUGCAUAAAAUCCUACAUGUAAGAAAGCAAAUUAAAUAACAAAUCUACAAGGGAUUGGCAUAAAUUUGACCCAAAUAAUAAUAUCAAUAGUAACAAAAAAUAUCAUAUAUGACACAAUUUAUGAUGGGAAAAUCCUUCUUUGAUUCUGUAGCAAGAUAUUUGUGCAAUAAAAUACUUUAUCAACUGAAGAAAUAGUGUUCACAGGCAAGCCUAAAUGAGCCCAAUACAAGGCCAAUCAUACAAUUCCUUGAAAAAAAAAAAGAAAGAAAAAAGGGAUGAAUAGAGAUCAAAUUCCAAAAUUUUUUUAUAAUUUCUUUAGCAACCUAGACAUAUAGAUAUGGAUUAUGCUGCAAACCUUAACCCAUGAAGGAGGUAAAGAGCCACGUAGAGUGACAAUUCUCAGAGGGACUGUCAAAGCAUAUGGUUUAGACUUCCAUCUUUUGAAAGCUUCUUUCAACUCCUUAUCUUCCAAGUUUUCUGUAUCCUCACUUUUUCCAACACCAUCACUAUCUAUGUUCAGAAAAAUACAUUGCACAAUUAGAAGCAACCAGGAGCUUAAAUUCAGUUUUUUCCAUGGGAAUAAAAAUACAUAUCAGUGCAAUUGUUUUUUUUUUUUUGAUAGACCAUAUCAAUGCAAUUGUAAUUCAAACAAACCAUCCAGACCAAUAGUAAAAUCACAAUCAUGUUCCAACUGGUAUUGUCUCCUCCCAAACCACAAAAAACUAAUUCAAACACAAUAAGCCAAUUUAGCUUACCAUAUAAUAUGGUCACACAGUCCAUGAAUAACACCAUGCUUGGCUCCAGUUUGCUAAAAUCAGGUCCAGGAAGUUCAAGAACUUGCUUUGACCCACCACUUAGUGUCCCAAAAGGGGCCAGAUCUUACCAUCUGAUGAAUCCCAAUUACACUAAAACCCUUAUAAAAUAAUGCUCCUGGGACCAAGAGAAAUUAUUAUGAAUUUUUGUUUGCUAUAGCCAUGUACUUCAUCAAUUAUUAAUUUAUAUUUUUUUGUACCUUUCAAAGGAUUUCUAAAAAUAUUAUUAUCUUAUGCAUUUAGUGACAUUAUUAAUUUAGUACUCUGGGUCGAGUUGGGACUGGAAGAUUUUAUUAUUUAAACAAAGUUAUUAAUUUAUCAAACUUUCAUUUAUUGAGCUUUAAUUGUAAAUGAGUAAGUAAAUCACAUGCAUUUGAUUUUCAAAUUUCGCAAGCAUAUAUGCUUUUACAUUGUACACAAUGAAGCACGGAUACUCUUGUAGAGUUGCCAAGACAUAUUUGAAAUGUCCCAACAUAGGUAUGCCUUAGACCUCCCAAAUACUCUUAAGUUUAUUUGACUUCAUUAUAAUGGGAUACAAUGAAUACAACUAGGAUAUGGUAGGAUAUCUUAUAUUUUUCAACAUUUUUACACUAUGAAGCAUAGAUACUUUUGUAGAGUUGCCAAAGAAUAUGUGAUAUGUUCCAAGAUAGAUAUGCCUCAAACCUGCCAAAUACUUUUAAGUUCAUUGGCUUCAAUUUUUUUAUUAGAAAAAACAGUUUAUUACCAUGAGGUAGAUAUGAAGAAGGAUGAGAAAUUCUUCCCCCAAACAAAACCACUACAUAACUCUGAUAAAAUCCAUGAAGAACUAUCUAUUCUAGAUAUCAAUGAAAAUUGAUACAACCAGGAUCUGACAGGAUAUCCUGUACAAUGCAAUAAUGGCCCAAAAUUCUAAAAGGGGAAGAUGAUGCCCAACAAAAAUAAAGUAUGCUAUACCUUGCAGCCAAUGGUCAUACAUUCAUGGUCCUUUCCUACUCUAAGGCACCCAAGAACGAGCUGUUGCUACAUUUGCUCAACCAACAGGCUUGAGAUGCCUAAAUAUUUGGCCUCCAUCAUUAGUGCUAGAAUUGAUGCAUUGAUAGCCACUCUAAGCCCAUACUUGUGAUCCCCAAUUAGGUUACUCAGUGUUUGCCCAGCAUUACUCUCUUGAAUGUAUUCAAGUGAUGACGAAAUUGAAAGAAAACAAACGAAAGUAUAAGGGGGUUUCCUUCAGUUUUCAUUUUUUGGGAUAGUUUUUAUAGAUUUCUGAAGGCCCUAAAGUCGUACUUACAAGACUGCUAUUCAAAAACAGAAAUGAAAUUACAAUGAAAGAUUCUUAUAAUUAUUUCACAUUUAACAUAGUGUCUAUGAGCACACACAAGGCAUCCACCUAGAUCUAUAACUUCAUAGAAAAUGACCUGUCAAAAAAAAAAAUCACUUCAUAGAAAAUGAUUCAUGUUAUUAACAUACUGGAGCAUGAAACAUAAUUUUGUGCAAGAUCAAGAACAUUUGUGUAAAAUCAAGUACAUUUGUGCACUAUAUCCGUUCAAACAAGCACAAUGAAGAUCUCAUUCCAAGCAAAAGACACCACUCAAUUUUAAAUUGUAAUAGCGAGAAAGCUGCAAUUCCUCUGAAUUGCUGCUUCCGAACAGACACGUGAUACAAAUGAUCGAUAUUUUGAGAUCACAUACCAUCGAAAGCAAAUCGAAAUCGGUAAGCCCACUCUGUAGACGAAGCAUUUUUUUGUUUUUCCUGGUAAAAAUGCUGGUAUACAACAAAUUUUGAAUAUCUUUUCUGAUUUGCUUCUCGAAGCAGACAAGGUAAACACAUAUCCUUCAUUUCUAAGCAACAUUUUACAGGACAUGCCCAUUAAAUUUAGAAACUUUCAAACAAAAUUGUUUUUCGCACUACCUUGAAUCCUCUGCUCCUGAACAGUUCGACACUCGGCGGCUACAACCGCCGGAAAACGUCCUGAAGUGGCAGAGCAGGCGCGGACACUGAACCCGAGGAAGAGAAUAGCAGAGACGGACGCAAUCUGAAGCAAGUCGGGAGGCAGUCUGGAGGGCUGCUCCGGUGGUGGCGGAGACACACCGGAGGUGGGCAACGCCGGCAAACAUGGAGGCCGGUACCGUGGACCGGAAACGCAGGAGAAGUUGAGGGAGAAUCUGAGACUACGAUGCUGUAGGAAUGGAAGGUUAGGGUUUGGUUUAAGGUCUUGGGAACGGUGAAGUGGGUGUGAGAGAAAGGAGGAGGAGGAAGAAGAAGCCAUUAAGCGAGGAGAAUGGAGACCGGAUAACACUUCAUAGUUAAGAGGAUAUAUUUGUCUUUUCAUAUUUAUGUCAAUGGCCUUUUAGUAAUUAUGAUAUUUCAACGUCCAACUAAAAAAAAUAUUUUAAAGCUUAUA
rnacentral:lncRNA from 1 species